rnacentral:rRNA from 1 species
UUGAACGCUGGCGGCAUGCUUUACACAUGCAAGUCGAACGGCAGCGGGGAAGUGCUUGCACUUCUGCCGGCGAGUGGCGAACGGGUGAGUAAUAUAUCGGAACGUACCGAAUAGUGGGGGAUAACUGUCCGAAAGGAUGGCUAAUACCGCAUACGUCUUGAGAGAGAAAGUGGGGGCUUCGCAAGGACCUCACGCUAUUUGAGCGGCCGAUAACUGAUUAGCUGGUUGGUGGGGAAAGAGCCCACCAAGGCGACGAUCAGUAGCGGGUCUGAGAGGAUGAUCCGCCACAUUGGGACUGAGACACGGCCCAAACUCCUACGGGAGGCAGCAGUGGGGAAUUUUGGACAAUGGGGGCAACCCUGAUCCAGCCAUGCCGCGUGUAUGAAGAAGGCCUUCGGGUUGUAAAGUACUUUUGUCGGGGAAGAAAAGGUUAGUGUUAAUACCACUGACUGAUGACGGAACCCGAAGAAUAAGCACCGGCUAAAGA